rnacentral:rRNA from 1 species
AUUGAACGCUGGCGGCAUGCUUUACACAUGCAAGUCGGACGGCAGCACAGGAGCUUGCUAUGGUGGCGAGUGGCGAACGGGUGAGUAACAUAUCGGAACGUACCGAGCAGUGGGGGAUAACUAAUCGAAAGAUUAGCUAAUACCGCAUAUAUUCUGAGGAAGAAAGCAGGGGACCAUUUGGCCUUGCGCUGUUUGAGCGGCCGAUAUCUGAUUAGCUGGUUGGUGGGGUAAAGGCCUACCAAGGCGACGAUCAGUAGCGGGUCGAGAGGAUGAUCCGCCACACUGGGACUGAGACACGGCCCAGACUCCUACGGGAGGCAGCAGUGGGGAAUUUUGGACAAUGGGGCAACCCUGAUCCAGCCAUGCCGCGUGUCUGAAGAAGGCCUUCGGGUUGUAAAGGACUUUUGUCAGGGAAGAAAAGGGCGGGGCUAAUACCCCUGUCUGAUGACGGUACCUGAAGAAUAAGCACCGCUAA